CUCCUCGAGGCGAGAGCCGAGCAAAAGCCGCACCUCGUCUCCUCCGCCUCGCGACUUCGCCUCGCCGGCGCCGCGGCGAUUCCCCCACACGGCACCACCAAAUCCGCCGCCGCCGCCGCCGUCGCCGUCGCCGCCGCCGCUUGCACCGGUUGCUCCGGGCGGGUGUCGGGAUGCUGGCGAGGGUCUCCCGCCUGGGGCUCCAUGCCCUGCGCCGCGCCACUGCGCCAGGUCAAAAUUCACUCGCUUCAAGGAGGCACGAAGCAGAAGCUGUUACCUCUCAUGUGAACCAUUUGGGGAAGACUUUCUUCUGUUCGAACACAAAUGCUACAUCCAGUGAUAGGAGCAGCGAGUCAGAAGCUAAGAUAUCUGUGACUUUUGUUGAUAAGGAUGGCGAGGAAAAGCUUGUUAAAGUACCUAUAGGAAUGUCAAUGCUAGAGGCAGCACAUGAGAAUGACAUAGAACUUGAAGGGGCAUGUGAGGGCUCUCUUGCAUGUUCGACAUGCCAUGUGAUUGUAACGGAUGUUGACUACUACAACAAAUUGGAAGAUCCUGUGGAUGAGGAGAACGAUAUGCUGGACCUUGCAUUUGGGCUUACAGAGACAUCCCGUCUUGGUUGCCAAGUGAUUGCAAGCCCUGAGCUUGAUGGAAUGCGAUUGGCACUGCCAUCAGCUACGAGAAAUUUUGCAGUUGAUGGGACAACCACCAUUGCAUACUUUUUGCGCAGACUGCAUUGUCAGCUCACUGCAAUUUGGUUUGAGAAAUACCAUCCAGCAACGUUCUGUCAUUAACAACAGGUGGAAUGCUUCUAUCAGUCUGAUUUGCCAAGAGAUCCUGUUACGGUGUCAGUGAUAUGGUAAGUAAGAGUAAGAGCAGUAUGAGAAAGAAAUGGAAUUUUCCUCGUCAUAAGAAGUUGAUGGGCAUGCAUUUCUCUGUAUUGCGUCAGUUUUACACAUCGAUUAGUUGGUUCAUCGCAAAAAGGAUUAGACAGGUGAUUUCUCACUUAUAUAGUAAUGAGAUACUUUAUUAUGGUCUAUACUAAUAGCAGAUAUAUAAUCUAGACCGAUCAUCUUUUCCAAUCCAAUGAAUCAUAUUUAUUUAUUUGGUAAAAUUGGAACCAUGCCAUUAUAAUUUUGCAAAGUUUGAGAUAUAUCAUCGGUAUAUCAAUGACAUGUAGGACCCACAUGAGUCAAUGACAUGUGGGUCAUGAUGACAUAUUUCAAAUUUUGCAAAAUUAUAAUGGUAUGGUUCUAAUUUUCCCUUAUUUGUAUUAUCAUCUCGAUUAUUACUAGUAAAAAAUCUAAUUGUAGUAAAAUUUAUAAAUCAACUGUUGAAAUUUCUCCAGCUAAUAACAAUAUUGUAGUAUAAUACUACCUAUUAAAUGUCAUGCCAUAAGUGAGUGAUGCCUACAAUAUACACUAGGAUUGCUUUAGCUUGGCACACUAUCGCAUUGUGGCUCUUUCAGGUUCACGUCUGGAUUCUGGAAAUGGGACAGAUUGUCAAAUUUAUGCAUUUGUAUGGGCGAAAUUUUGCUGAAUUAUGAUGUCUUUGCCGUUAGAUCCGGGCAGAAAGUGUCCUCCAUAAAAACACUUGAAUGCAAGCCUCAAUAUCUCUCUCCUCUCCCUGACGCAUCAUAGAAGUUGCUAGAUAUAUACGUACACCGUCUCCAAAAAAAUUGUUCAUAUUGAUUUUCACAUGCAGGUAUUUAUUUCAUGGACAGCUAUAGUGAAUCGGCGAUUGAUUUCCUAGCCUGCAGGUCAUUGCGCAACGUCUAUUACAUACUGAUCACAGUCUGAAUCUGCUGCAAGCUGUAAAAUAAGCCUCCUUUUUCUCUGAAGUUUUGGGCAGGAUUUCAGGUUACGAGAAGCGCGUGAUGCAGUUAAACGGACAGUGGCUUUAGCCAGGGGAUGGCACUUUCUAAUUAGUUGGGGAUAUGAUCAAUUGAUCAUGCAUUCCCAAUGUUAAAAGUGAUGGGGUCAUGGGAAAUGGCCGGGCUGUUAUCGGCCAUGCCUUCGCUGUCCAUCGGCCAUUUCAUUCCAUCAGCCAAUGGGAUGGGAGCAUUUGGAGCCUUAAUGCCGUCCUCUCUCUCCUCCUCUAUUCUCUCACUCUCUCCCCCUCAUCAUUAUCUUUUUUUUUUCUGAAAGGCCAAAAUUUUAAAAUAUAAUUUUUAAUAUUAACUUUUAGGUAUAACCUCUUUGUCUUCUUAGAAAUCAUGAAAAUAAGUAUGGGCAAUGAAAAUAACCCCUAAAACUAAUUUAGGAUUAAUUUUCUUAAAUUCAAAAAUGAAAUACAUCUUUUUAGAAACUAGCUGACAUGACUUUGCAUUGCAAUCGGUUUUUUGGCUAACCAGCUGCUUUUUUUAGGGGGGAGGUAGGGGAGGUAGUUGUGUGUUUCAUGCGAUGUGGAGAGGAAUGGACGGACUAUUCCGCUUUUAAGUAGUAGAUAAUUAAAAUAAUGUCAAGAGAGCUCUUAGACUCUGUUCUUUGUCAAGGUGGACUAUGUUCGAUGAAAUUGUUUUAAGAUUUUUUUUUAUAUAUAAUUGCUAAGUUACAAAUGAAAAAAAUAUUGAAAAUGGGCUUGUUCGGUGUGACUAGAUGGCAGCCAACAGUGACUACAUACAAUUUCUACCAUAACCAUAGCAGCAGCCGCAAGCGAACACACCCAAUAUCAGGAGAAACAACAUUGGGUAAAAUCUCCUUUGAACAGGAAUUCUAAUAGGAAUUUUACAUGAACUUAAUUAAUUCCUACGAAAAUCCUAUAAAAUUAAUGCAUUCAAAAGGAGCCUUGAAAAAUUGUCUAACCACAAUUUGAUUUGUCAACGAAAUACAUAGCUUCUUUCCAUAACUAUUAUUCCAGAACUGUCUAAAAAAUUAAGCGCAAUGCAUCAACCUCAAACUCUUAUCCUCCUCAUUACAUUUUUUUAAGCAUGAAUUCCUCCACUAAUAUGACACUAUCCGAAGCCCUGCACAGAGUCAAGUUCUGCAUGAUAUGGGUCAGUCAUCAGUGGCCACCUAGCCUGCACCAAUCCUUUUUUUUUAAUCUCCAGGGUGUACAAAUUAAGAAGAAACAGACGGGUUAAUCAAUGGAAAGUGCCAGGCUCCAAAUACAAAAGCUAGGGGUGACAGCUGAGCUAGACUUGACUUCAAGGUAAAACCAGGUAUCUAAUCUUAACACAGUUGCAAUGAGAGCCCCUGGAAACGAUGAAAAAGAUUCAAUCUGAGCCACGAAUUUGGUCGGGGAGUCGAGUCAUCAACGUGCAAAGUACGGUAUUGACGCCAAAUAGUGGUAGAAGUAGCAGCAGUAGUGCCCUCUCGCUUUCACUUUAGUGCCAUUGCAUUCUGCUCUUCAACUGUCUGUACUCUUCUGUACUGUACUGAUCAAUCACUGCACUUAGGGUGUGUUUAGUAAAUCUUUGAUUCGUUUC